GACCUACGCUGGCGGCAGUGCUUAACACAUGCAAGUCGAGCGCCCAGCAAUGGGAGCGGCGGACGGGUGAAUAACGCGUGGGAAUAUGCCCUUUGGUACGGAACAACUCAGGGAAACUUGAGCUAAUACCGUAUGAGCCGGUAACGGGAAAGAUUUAUCGCCAAAGGAUUAGCCCGCGUCCGAUUAGCUAGUUGGUGAGGUAACGGCCCACCAAGGCACCGAUCGGUAGCUGGUCUGAGAGGACGACCAGCCACACUGGGACUGAGACACGGCCCAGACUCCUACGGGAGGCAGCAGUGGGGAAUCUUGGACAAUGGGGGAAACCCUGAUCCAGCCAUGCCGCGUGAGUGAUGAAGGCCUUAGGGUUGUAAAACUCUUUCGGCGGGGACGAUAAUGACGGUACCCGCAGAAGAAGCUCCGGCUAACUUCGUGCCAGCAGCCGCGGUAAUACGAAGGGGGCUAGCGUUGUUCGGAAUUACUGGGCGUAAAGCGCGCGCAGGCGGCCUUUCAAGUCAGGGGUGAAAGCCCGGAGCUCAACUCCGGAAUUGCCUUUGAAACUGUGAGGCUUGAGUACUGGAGAGGUGAGUGGAAUUCCCAGUGUAGAGGUGAAAUUCGUAGAUAUUGGGAAGAACACCGGUGGGCGAAAGGCGGCUUAAUGGCCCGUAACUGAAGGCUCAAGCGCCGACAGCGUGGGGGAUUCAAAACGGGAUUUAAAUUACCCUGGGUAGUCCCACACCCC
rnacentral:rRNA from 1 species